AGCAUUCUUAACAACCUAUUAGAAUAACUUCUCUCUCCCUCUUUGCCUCACAAUCUUUGUCCUCAGCCAUUUUAUAGUCUUUGAUACACUUGCUAACACAGUAUUUGUACAGUCCCUUGAAUUGGCACCUUUAUACCAACUUUCUUAAAAUCUCCUUUUCUAACUCCCCACCAGCUUCUCUUCUUCUUGACCCUCAUUGUCAGAACCUCUCAGGAUUCAAUUCUGGUUCUUGGUGGGACACUGGUUCUUCCUCAUCCCAUGACCACUCCUCAUUCUGUGUCCUGUGUAACAAAGCCUCAUUCUGUGUCCUGUGCAAUGAAGCCUCAUUCUGUGUCUGUAACAAAGCCUCAUUCUGUGUCUGUGCAAUGAAGUCUCAUUCUGUGUCCUGUGCAAUGAAGUCCCAUUCUGUGUCUGUAACGAAACCUCUUUCUGUGUCCUGUGUAAUUAAUUGCAUGCUUCUCUCUCCAUGUGAAUGAAUAUGGAUCUUUAUGAAAGGACCUUUUGUUGUGGCCUUCCUCAUCCCUAAAGACAUUGUAAAAUAGUAAGUUGGUAGAUAAAAGUUGAAUUGACUCACUUAGUAUUACCUUACUCCCAGUACCUAGCACUGCUUAGUACUUCCUAGUACUCUUUGAACUCAUCCCCUCUUCAUUCAUUCAUAGAGCUUGAUUGCCAUUAUAGAAAUGCUACCAACCUUAGCUUAUGCCCUGCUAAUGUCAGUGUGCCACUGGAAUACCUACUCCUUCAACAGACAAGCCAUACACACAGCAAACACUGUGGCUCUUUGUCUGCCCUCUCCCCAACUGUGUGUUCCUUAAACUUUGGUCUUGAAUGUCAUGGACGUGGUGAUUCCCCUGGGAUUCAUGGAUCUUAUUUCAGAGACUCCUUUUAUGCGGGGUCUUAUAUCUGUGUAUGUGUACCUUCUGUUUUGUGAGAGGCGAUGUCAAUUAUUACCUAUUGUUGCACUGACUUGUAGGUAGAUCAGUAGGAGAUUUAGAUGCUCUUAUGCUGUGAGUUUGAUGUUAUUUCAUUAGCUGCAUGGUGUUUUCUGAUCUUGCAUUGAUUAGUUACUUUUUAAAAGUAUGAGCCAACAGUUCAGGAAUGCCUCCACAGUAUUCAAAAGGGAGGCAAUUUAAUGUUAUGAUCAGUUCUAGGUGGUAGUUCUUUAGAUUUUAUGUUUCAUUGGUCAUAAAAAUGUAAAAAAAAUGUAAAGGUACGAUAUUAAUAUAACUAUUAAAAUAACAACUGCUGCCUGUUAUCACUGUCAUGUAACAAAAGAUGUUUUAACUCCAAAAAGUAGGGGGCUAUGUGGUGACAGUAUGAACUGAAUAAACUAAAUGUUGUUAUAGAACUUU
rnacentral:lncRNA from 1 species